CGGAGCGUGGCGCAGUCCGGUUAGCGCACCGGUCUGGGGGACCGGGGGUCGGGAGUUCAAAUCUCCCCGCUCCGACCA
rnacentral:tRNA from 1 species